rnacentral:misc_RNA from 1 species
AGGAGAGAAAGAGCGUGCGAAGCCGUAAAAGGAACGUUGGAAAGGCGCGGCGACCAAGAUCACGCAUGUGGCGCACGUCAUGCGCGGCGCGCUCGAAGGCGCUGUCCCCGUACGCGCAGGCGCUGAAGCAGGUGGCACUGAAAGGUGUCGUGGCGAUAGGCCCUAGUGCAAAGGAGAUGGAGAUCGAUAUGUACAGAAGGGGAACCCUACCUGCCGACUACCGGCCCCCUGUGCAAGGCAAAUGGGAUGACACCAUUGAGCGCUGGGCCUACGCGUGGCAGUUUCCCGCCGAGGAAGAAGUGGAGGACGUGGUCACUUCAGUGGAGAGGAACGGUAAGGCCAUGCAGGACCUACUCGAGUUCGGGGAGCGCCUUGCGAGCUCUCCACCGUCGACGGUGCCCAAGUCGGGCCGUCGCUCCACCACAUAUAAAGUGCCUCUGGCUGCGGCUGACCAGCUGCCCCUCCUGGUGCCCUCGCAGAAGUAUGACUUGCUGGAGGGCGACCUCAACAAUUUAAGCGGCACUCCAGAUGAGGAGGUGCGGCCAGUGAUGGCGGUGGAGCAAUUCUCGCAGGAAAUGAACAUUCCGAUAGCCUACCUUGACGAUGAGUCGGAACGCACAAAUGCCAGCAAAGAGUUGAGCGUUAUCAUGGGUGGCGCAGGUUUGGAUUUCACCGAGGAGGGCCUUGUGGUCGUCCUCUCCGCUCUUGCGAGGCAGCACUACUACGAUGCAGCACGUGCCAUUUUCCUCUUUGCUGCCGAUGUGGGUCUCGGACCAAACGCGGAGAUGUACAAGGCGCUGAUGAAGCACUCGUCUUCGCUAGGAAAGGUUAAUGACUCCAUGGCACUUAUCGAAGAAAUGAAAAUGCGCGGCAUCACGCCACGCAUUGGCAACUGGCACGAGCUCAUGCGCUCAUUCCACAACGCGGGGGACUACUCCGCCGUGGCGCAGAUUGUAGACAACAUGAAGAUGUACGCGAAUAUUGAGCCGAACGAAGUGACCUUCGCCCUGCAGCUGCGUGCGCUGAGCAAGGACACGUCGCAGAUGAACUCCCUGGCGGAGUCCGUGCAGCUCUUUGACCAAAUGGAGAACGUGUACGGCUUCAUCGCUGCACGGCCUCACUACGAUGCGCUCAUGUUUUCCUUGAGUCAGAGCCCGGUCCCAGAGAUGCGACUCCGCUGCGAAGAGCUGGCACAGAAGAUGGAACUCAUGGGCAUUCCCUGGAACGCCACAACGUAUCUAAACCUGAUCCGCUCUGCGCAGGUUGUCGGCGAUGUCGACGCGGUGGAACGGCAUCUCGCAAAAAUGCGCGACGACCGUAUUCCGGUCAGCAUGCUUCACCUUUCCUGGGCUGUUCAAGCGCACGUCCAGCUCCUCAUCCGUGCCGAUUACGAGCAGAUGAAGGAGCAGAAGAGCGACAUUUACGCCAUGUGGCUCGAGCAUAUGAACACUUGCUUCGGGAUAUACGAGCUGGUGGUUCGCCGCGGGUGGGAAAUGCAAGCUCCUUUUAUCAAUUCGCUGCUUCGUCUGUGCUGUCAGACCGCAAUUCUGAGCAUCGAGCACCUGCCCGACAACACGAGAGCGAUCGGCAUGUUCGAGGAACAGGCAAAUAAGAUCUGGGCCGACACGUUCGAUGAGUGGCACCUCAAAAAGGAUGUGUACAGCUACGAGUGCUAUAUAGCCCUGCUCGCUCACCAGCAGCGCAUCGACGAGGCGGAGAAACUGUUCCAGCAAAUGGUCCUGCAGGAAGACUUGGUGCCCAGCCGGCGGACCUACGAGUGCCUCAUCUUCAUGCAUCUCUCUUCCGGCGAGGAGGGCGGCGCCGCGCGGGCGUUGCACUAUCUGGAGGCCAUGGAGAACGCGAGGAUCCCAGUGCGUGCGUCGCUCCUCAAGAAGAUUGUCCGCGUGAAUAAUGCCGCAGGGUACAAGCGCGACAUGAAGCGGCGGGCCCGUCGCAUCAUGCAAGCCCGUGAGGAGUACCUCGCGCGGAAGCAGGAGGGCAUCGAGUUCCCACUGCAGCCCUCGCCAGCGGCGGGGGUUGUCCCGGCGGAAGCGAAGGCGGCGACUGUCGUGCAGCCUUUACCCGUUCCAGCUGACACAACGCUGGCAUGGUGGGAGCGGUGGAAGAAGACGACAGUGAGCAAACACGAGCUGUUCGCCGAGGAGAACGCCGAUGGUACGCCAAAGGGCGAAACGUUUGAGGAGAAGAACGCCGCCCUCACGCAGCUGGGCAUCGACUCCGCCUUCAAGACCCCUGCCGAUGUCCCGGCGCUGAGCAAGCAACAGCUGCUACCAAAGAUACGGCAACAGGAGGGGGAGAUUGCGGGCAGCUUGUGGGCGCUGGAUGGAAGCGAGCUGGCGUACCCGAAGAGUGGAGGUGGCCCGGAAGGCUGGGGCGUACGACUGUGGCGCGAGCGUGCAAUUGUGAAACAGGAGUAUCAGGGCAUUCUAGACGGCAAGGCAGCUGUGCCGGAGUUCUCUGAGAUGGGAAAGGCAGUACGAGUGGCUGGUGACCAGCUAGACAUUGAAGAGAGCGGUGCCACGAACCCCGGCGAGCUGUCCGACUGGCGACAGUACCCGCAGCAUCGAUACGACGAUGGAAGCAAGAAGCCAGCGAGUGAGAUGGCGCACGCAGUGCCGCCGUCGGCUGAGUUUGUGUGGCAAGGAGAGCAGCGGGACCCGUUAGCGCCGUACAAGAGCGAUGAAGAAAUCGCUCUGGAGUCGGACAACACUUUCUACGAACAGAUAAAAGAGGAAGCCGCGAGCAGCACAAAGGUCCUCGUUGAGGUUCUUCAGAACAAGGAGGAGGGCGUGGUGAAACUGACUAGCCAGGGACCUACACGCAAGUCCAAGUACGACUACCUGGAGAAGUGGCGUGAGAUGUACCGGCACGGUACUCUUGAGGCGCCAGAGGAUCCCCCGCUUCGCUUUGGCCGCUCGCCGGACGAUCAUCAUGACUCCCUGGCAUCCAGUGUGCGAGACUGGUACCGGCGCAACAGGAAGACCCCUGCCACGCAGGCGCAGCUGCAGCGUUGGGAGGCGGAGGAGGCGCGCAGCACCGAGGAGCGAUCGUCCAGGAAGGCGCUGCAGCGAAGCAAGCGCCGCCGACUGCGCACUCGCUAAUGAACGGCUAAGUGGAAGAGGGGAGCAGCCCAACGCUGCUUCCCACACCAGUGCAUUUUUCUUUUGUUUUCGCAGCUGCGUCUCACAGCACACACACUCUCCACAGACACAGGCACACGGUGGAUGAUAAGCAUGGACAUGAGUUGAAGUAAACACGCACGCACCGCCCGCAUAUGCGCACGGUGUGGAGAGUGCGGCUCUGUUACCGGCAGAC